rnacentral:rRNA from 1 species
AUGGAAAAAUGUGGGAUCCGCAAAUACCGUAUUAUGGAUAUUUUGUGCUUUCAAUACGGUGGAUUUGAUAAGGUUGGAUGCAUAAAGAGGGACAUUUAUAAUUUCUGCCAUGCUAAUAAGCAGGAGACAAUCAGUGCCGGUGAUGCUAAUACGGUGAUCAUGCACAUGAUGGCGAGGCGAGAGCGAGAUGUGGAUUUUUUCUUCAAGUACUUGGUAGACGAGCAUGGCCAUCUGAAGGGACUGUUCUGGGCUGAUAGUCAAUCGCGACUUGACUACGAGGCUUUCGGAGACGUCAUUGUUUUCGAUAGCACAUACAUAACCAACAAAUACAAUCUGCCAUUCGUGCCGUUUGUCGGGUUGAAUCACCACCGGAGCACUGUCAUUUUCGGCUGUGGUAUAAUUUCUCAUGAAACAAGCCAGGCAUACGAGUGGAUGUUGCGGACCUUUUCUGAUUGCAUGGCACAGAAGCAUCCGAUAUCUGUGAUCACAGAUGGGGACCUUGCAAUGCAGAGAGCAAUCAGGGUGGUCUGGCCAGACUCAAACCAUAGACUAUGUAUAUGGCACAUACAGCAGAACAUUGUACGCCAUCUGCAUGAUGAUGACGUAAAGGAGGAAUUCAGAUCUUUCAUUUAUGAUACUUCUUCCAUUGAAGAGCAUGAGAUAGAAUGGAUAUACUUCUUACAACGGAAUAAAGUAACCAGUGAGGAGUCUUGGCUGCAUCAGAUGUAUCAAAUGAGAAAGUUGUGGUGUGCUCCAUAUCUUGAGGGGCGUUGUUUCCUAGGAUUGAGCAGCAAUCAGAGGAGUGAGAGCUUGAACUCUGUGCUACAUACGCAUCUUGAGGGUAAGAUGUCGUUGUUUGAAAUGCUAGAGCACUAUGAGCAUUGCCUUGCGUCGCGACGGAUUAACGAAGCUCUCCAUGACGUCGAAGCCUUGCAGUCCGUUCCAUUUACAGAGGAAAAUGCUUCACCGCUUGAGAAACACGCCACAACAGUUUUCACACCUAGUGUCUUUAAGAUGGUCUUAUGGAGCAUAGAUGCUGUCAGCAAAUGUCAGAUCAGAGAGAUACUAGAUGGAUCAGAAGAUUCCACUUAUGUUGUGUCCAAGCAGGAAAGAAUGGAUAAAAAGUUUGGAGUGCGCAUUGAAGAGCAAGGAGGUCUUUUGCACAGGGUGAGUUGUUCUUGCCGUAAGCUGGAAUGCGCAGGCACACCAUGUUCCCACAUUUUUUACAUAUUGGGGAUUUUAAAACAAACAAUUCUGCCCAGUUCUUGCGUUCCCACUAGGUGGACUAUGAAUGCAAAAUGUGCAUACGCACCUACCAGAAAAACCAGAUGUAUGACUAUUCGGUAA